GCCUUUUUGAUUACUUUUGUGACUUUUGUGACUAUCUAAAGCCGGUCCUUUAGAUAGUGAGUUUUGGACGUGUCUAAUAGAUGGCGUGAAAGAAUAUUGUGUUGAUAUGUGCUUAUGGCGGCUCGUUGUCAACAGUUCAGCUACAGCUAUUUUCUUCGACAAUUACAAAGGAAUUCGAGAAUUUGUGUAAGGGGCAUGCAGCCUAGUGUCAACUAUUGUGUUAUAAAUCCUAGUAUCCUACUGAAUAUGUCAUCCGAUCACCAACCCUAGAAUGGACCAUUAUUCUCGCAUUCCAUCUUCUAGAGAACCUUGGGUAACUGAUUGGUGGUUUUGUGUGUCUCUAAUCUUGCACGCCAGCCUUUAUGAGAAGUCAUGUCCUGUGAAGAAAAGGGACAAUGACUUUACAGUCAUCAAGGUCAUUUAUUUGUUUGGUAACCCGUUGGCUGCUAGCCUGCUACCCUUGAACAUCCCUUUUUACUUCCUUAAACAGUCCCUCUUGAUUUGAGGGUAACUCCUUCGCCACUUAUCCAUGGGUGAAAACUGAAAAGAGAAAGCUGUAAUUCAGAUGUCUAAGCCGGAAGCCUACUAUGGUUAAUCGCUCUCGUAAUAACUGUUCCUCAACUCUUCGCUCUUUUUCCGGUUUCUCUUAACCAUUUGCCAGGUAGUCAAUUAAGACAGUGAUGUCUCCCCCUGUCUUGAUUGUGUGCGAGUUUCAAAAGCAGUUUAUCACCCAAAUGAGACAAAAGGAGUUGGUUAGGUUUGUUUUAUAUGGGUAUAAACUGCUUUAAAAUUUGCACAGACCAACAUUUGUCUUGUACCGGACGCUUUGUUUAUUAAAUUUCAAUCAU